rnacentral:lncRNA from 1 species
UUAUUUAGGGUUAUCAAGGGUUUGAUUUGGAUGGUUUAGGGAUAAAUAUAGGUUUAGUUAGGUUAGGGGUAGAGGGAAGAACAUGAACCUUCAUGUUCUUCAUGAUAGGGUACGUCUGAGCAUAAUGUAGUAGGGUUAUGGUUCUUCAUUGUUAGAGUUAAGGUUCGUCACCCUAGGUUAGGUAUUGAAGAGUUCAGGUUAGGGUUCAUAUGGUUUAAUGAGUUUUGAGAAUUUUGGAUGAAUGUAUAAAGUUUCCAAUUGAACUUCAAUCAGAAAUUGAAGAAUAGGGAGGUUUUAG